AACGCGAAGAACCUUACCUGGUCUUGACAUCCCUCUGACCGAUCCGUAAUGGGAUCUUUCCUUCGGGACAGGGGAGACAGGUGGUGCAUGGUUGUCGUCAGCUCGUGUCGUGAGAUGUUGGGUUAAGUCCCGCAACGAGCGCAACCCUUAUCUUUAGUAGCCAGCAUUUCGGAUGGGCACUCUAGAGAGACUGCCAGGGAUAACCUGGAGGAAGGUGGGGAUGACGUCAAAUCAUCAUGCCCCUUAUGACCAGGGCUACACACGUGCUACAAUGGCGUAAACAAAGGGAAGCGACCCCGCGAGGGUAAGCAAAUCUCAAAAAUAACGUCUCAGUUCGGAUUGUAGUCUGCAACUCGACUACAUGAAGCUGGAAUCGCUAGUAAUCGCGAAUCAGAAUGUCGCGGUGAAUACGUUCCCGGGUCUUGUACACACCG
rnacentral:rRNA from 1 species